rnacentral:lncRNA from 1 species
CAGGAAUAGGAGGAGGAAGUAACCAUGGCUUGCUGCAUGCCAAACGGGGUGUCACUACUAGAAGUUUUCAUUUCAGAAGGGCUGUACCAGAAGAAAUGAGCCAAAACUUGGGAAUCAGGAGGAUAGUGUAGAAAUCUGGGAGUAAAAUUCAAGGAUCUAUCCUGAAAGAGUUAAGCAGAGACAGGAAAAAAGUGGCAAUCAGGGAAACGACGUAUAGUAUGUGCAAUGGAGAAAAUCCUCUAUCUUGUAUACUGCCCCAGUGCACUUCUAGACAGAGGGUGGGACUGUAAAGGAGCUGUCCUUUCAUUUGGCUAUCCUGCAAGGCUCUUCUAUGUCAGUCCUUCUUCAGAAGCUGGAGAGGAUCUAUAGGCUGUCACCCCAUGGGACAUUGCAGAAGACCUCAGGAGUCCAGAUGGUAUUUCAUGACAAACAAGCAGAUUGCUGAUUAUAAGUUUGCUUCCUGUGUACACAGAAAGGAUGCCCUAGCCAUUUCAAUUUGCAUGAUUAUAUAUCCUGGUUGUAAGUCCUUCUAGUUUUCUAUGAGAGCUGCCACCACAGCAUGGCAACUGACAGACGAAUGAUGUGGUUCCAAGACUGGGAAAGGAACCCAGGCCUCCAAAGCAGUGAGAGCACCGAACUUUAACCAGUGGGCUAUCAGGGCUGGCUCUCCACCUUUCUCUUUGUUCCAGAAGACUGCUUUUGUGGACUACAUUACCUGGACCCCUUGCUAUUCGUCUUUUGCUUGCAUAUUUGACUAAU